GGAUCUGAAGAGGCGGGAUCUGAAAGGAGAGGGAUCUGAAGAGGCGGGAUCUGAAAGGCGCGGGAUCUGAAGAGGCGGGAUCUGAAAGGCGCGGGAUCUGAAGAGGCGGGAUCUGAAAGGAGUGGGAUCUGAAGAGGCGGGAUCUGAAAGGAGAGGGAUCUGAAGAGGCAGGAUCUGAAAGGCGGGAUCUGAAGGAGCGGGAUCUGAAAGGCAGGAUCUUAUGCAGCCGUUAAUUGAGGGCACUGUUUGAGCAGAGUGAGUCAGAGCUACACUACUGAAGAAAGUCCCUCUUGGCUCAGUGCAUGAACAGCUGUCCUGGUGUUAAUCUGCUGCCCUCAUGAGUGUGCGUUUUCACGAAUGGUGAAGCCAAGAAACUGUACUACGAACCUGACUAUUAAAGAAAUGGUCUGGUGUAAAAAAAAAAAACCCAUCAUAUUUACACAGUUAUCCCCUUGCUCAAAUAUAAUCAAAUAUCAGUCAUGCCUAAUAUGCACCUAAAACCAAAUCCAGUUCAUAAGUGAUGUCAUGCAGACAAGCUAAUGGUACUGCUAAUUUACUGGCCUGGGGAGUAACAGAAUACAUGUAACCGUGUUACGUAAUCCGGAUACAAAAACAAACAAACAAACAAACAAACAAACAAACUGGUAAAUAAUCCGUUAGCCUACAGUUAGGUCCAAAAACUAAGUAAAUUAGACUGCAGGUUUAUUGGGAUUACAUUUUUUUUUCAUUUAAAACCAAAGGAAUUAAACUUUUGCGGGGAUCCAGACUGUGGCUAAAACGGUCGACCGAAAAUAUUCAUUUGCGAGUGAUUUUUUUGCUGAGAUUGCCACUGGUGACGAUAUAAACUUACUCGUUUAGAUUUAAAAAUUUGCAUGUAAUGUCUUUUUAAUUGCGUGUUCUGUGAGGAGUGGCCCUUCACAUCAUUUGUUGUGUUGACGUAAUAAAAUGAGACGUUGGGAAAAAACCCCCAAAAAAGUGUUUCACAAUUCAAAUUCAUCCAGAGCGCCAAAAUACGCACAGGGAAAGAGAGGGUCAGCUUUCCGCCUCAGAAAGACUUGUCAAAACGAAAAAAUAUCAGACUUCUGAAACAAUCCCCAUCUCUAUCGAGCACC
ensembl:lncRNA